AUGAAACGCUGGCGGCGUGCCUAACACAUGCAAGUCGAGCGGAGAGAGACGAGUAUUCGUACAAAUCUCUCUUAGCGGCGGACGGGUGAGUAACACGUGAGUAACCUGCCUUCUUCUGGGGAAUAACACAGAGAAAUUUGUGCUAAUACCGCAUAAAGUCACGACUGGGCAUCCAGAUGUGACCAAAGGAGCAAUCCGGAGGAAGAUGGACUCGCGUCCGAUUAGGUAGUUGGUGAGGUAACGGCCCACCAAGCCUACGAUCGGUAGCCGAACUGAGAGGUUGAUCGGCCACAUUGGGACUGAGACACGGCCCAGACUCCUACGGGAGGCAGCAGUGGGGAAUAUUGGGCAAUGGGGGAAACCCUGACCCAGCAACGCCGCGUGAAGGACGAAGGCCUUCGGGUUGUAAACUUCUUUGAUCAGGGACGAAACAAAUGACGGUACCUGAGGAACAAGCCACGGCUAACUACGUG
rnacentral:rRNA from 1 species